UGGGGAAUUUUGGACAAUGGGCGCAAGCCUGAUCCAGCCAUGCCGCGUGCGGGAAGAAGGCCUUCGGGUUGUAAACCGCUUUUGUCAGGGAAGAAAUCCUUUGAGCUAAUACCUCGGGGGGAUGACGGUACCUGAAGAAUAAGCACCGGCUAACUACGUGCCAGCAGCCGCGGUAAUACGUAGGGUGCAAGCGUUAAUCGGAAUUACUGGGCGUAAAGCGUGCGCAGGCGGUUAUGUAAGACAGAGGUGAAAUCCCCGGGCUCAACCUGGGAACUGCCUUUGUGACUGCAUAGCUAGAGUACGGUAGAGGGGGAUGGAAUUCCGCGUGUAGCAGUGAAAUGCGUAGAUAUGCGGAGGAACACCGAUGGCGAAGGCGACCACCUGGACUGAUACUGACACUGAGGUGCGAAAGCGUGGGGAGCAAACA
rnacentral:rRNA from 1 species